rnacentral:rRNA from 1 species
CAGUCGACGAACUUCUUUAUCACCGAGUGCUUGCACUCACCGGUAAAGGGUUGAGUGGCGAACGGGUGAGUAACACGUGGGCAACCUGCCCAAAAGAGGGGGAUAACACUUGGAAACAGGUGCUAAUACCGCAUAACCAUAGUUACCGCAUGGUAGCUAUGUAAAAGGUGGCUAUGCUACCGCUUUUGGAUGGGCCCGCGGCGCAUUAGCUAGUUGGUGGGGUAAAGGCUUACCAAGGCAAUGAUGCGUAGCCGAACUGAGAGGUUGAUCGGCCACAUUGGGACUGAGACACGGCCCAAACUCCUACGGGAGGCAGCAGUAGGGAAUCUUCCACAAUGGGCGAAAGCCUGAUGGAGCAACGCCGCGUGGGUGAAGAAGGUCUUCGGAUCGUAAAACCCUGUUGUUAGAGAAGAAAGUGCGUGAGAGUAACUGUUCACGUUUCGACGGUAUCUAACCAGAAAGCCACGGCUAACUACGUGCCAGCAGCCGCGGUAAUACGUAGGUGGCAAGCGUUAUCCGGAUUUAUUGGGCGUAAAGGGAACGCAGGCGGUCUUUUAAGUCUGAUGUGAAAGCCUUCGGCUUAACCGGAGUAGUGCAUUGGAAACUGGGAGACUUGAGUGCAGAAGAGGAGAGUGGAACUCCAUGUGUAGCGGUGAAAUGCGUAGAUAUAUGGAAGAACACCAGUGGCGAAAGCGGCUCUCUGG